CGAAAAAAAAGAAGUAAUAAUUCAGGGAAAAAAUUCAGGGGGGAAAACAAUUGCAAGAUGUAAAGUCAAAAUUGUAAGAUGUACAAUUGCAAGAUAAAAUGUCAGAAUUAACGUCAGUUCAGAUCUCGCAGCAGCUUAUUUAUUCCAAUAAGGAGGGACCUAAGGAGAUAUUGUUCUAUUUUUAGUAAGAUAACUUGUUCUGAAAAGUUGUUAAAUGUGUUUACACUUACACUAGUUGAUUAAUUAAUAUUCAUAAGCCAAGCCAUCGCUAAUCCUAAUGCAUACUUAGCGCUGUUUGGCUUUCAGCCAAUCAACUUGGGCGAACGUGACGUCACGUAAAUGAAUAUUAAUGAGCCAAGUCUUGCUGCCACAAACAUCAGCUGUUGUGACUCUCUGGGUGGAUCCCCGUGAUGAUAAAUACUGCUGUCAUCUCGAUCAGAUCACAUUCACUGCUUCAUCAUGGGCUCAGGUAGACAGAUACAGAGCUUAUGAAUCAGAAAACACACACUGGUUGAUUUCUAAGAGAAACUAACAGUUUUAUUCCUGUUUCUGACCAGCUGCUGAGGGUGAUGAGGUGGAGGGGAGGGAAAAAGGAUAAAGACAAAGACCAAGAAGAUAAAGAUAAAGAGUGCAAGGAUAAGGGCAAGGACAAAGAGAGUGACAAGGCAAAGAGUGAUUGCAAAGAAAAGGAUAAAGACCACUCUUCAUCCAGUGAUGAGGACUAAAGCUGAAGACUGAAGACAUAAGGGUGACUGGGGCAAGUUGUCACAUGGGGAAAUGCCCUAAGGGCUUUAUCUCAGUAACUGUGAGGUUUUAAGUAAA